UCCACCCCUAGAGGCAUUGCAGGUGUAGCUGUGGUGUCACAUGCGGGUCAGUAGGUGUCAGAGGGAUGAGAUGCUAUGUUACACUCAGUGUUCUGACCCAUGAACAUCCGAAUGAUUAGUAGCCUAAUAUU